AUUGAACGCUGGCGGCAGGCCUAACACAUGCAAGUCGAGCGGAUGAAGGGAGCUUGCUCCUGGAUUCAGCGGCGGACGGGUGAGUAAUGCCUAGGAAUCUGCCUGGUAGUGGGGGAUAACGUCCGGAAACGGGCGCUAAUACCGCCUACGUCCUGAGGGAGAAAGUGGGGGAGCUUCGGACCUCAUGCUAUCAGAUGAGCCUAGGUCGGAUUAGCUAGUUGGUGGGGUAAAGGCCUACCAAGGCGACGAUCCGUAACUGGUCUGAGAGGAUGAUCAGUCACACUAGAACUUAGACACGGUCCAGACUCCUACGGGAGGCAGCAGUGGGGAAUAUUGGACAAUGGGCGAAAGCCUGAUCCAGCCGUGCCGCGUGUGUGGAGAAGGUCUUCGGAUUGUAAAGCACUUUAAGUUGGGGGGAAGGGCAGUAAGUUAAUACCUUGCUGUUUUGACGUUACCAACAGAAUAAGCACCGGCUAACUUCGUG
rnacentral:rRNA from 1 species